ACGGAAGGCAGCAGUGGGGAAUAUUGGACAAUGGGCGCAAGCCUGAUCCAGCGACGCCGCGUGAGCGAUGAAGUAUUUCGGUAUGUAAAGCUCUAUCAGCAGGGAAGAAAAUGACGGUACCUGACUAAGAAGCCCCGGCUAACUACGUGCCGGCAGCCGCGGUAAUACGUAGGGGGCAAGCGUUAUCCGGAUUUACUGGGUGUAAAGGGAGCGUAGACGGCGAUGCAAGUCUGAAGUGAAAGCCCGCGGCUUAACUGCGGAACUGCUUUGGAAACUGUAUUGCUAGAGUGUCGGAGAGGUGAGUGGAAUUCCCAGUGUAGCGGUGAAAUGCGUAGAUAUUGGGAGGAACACCGGUGGCGAAGGCGGCUCACUGGACGAUAACUGACGUUGAUGCUCGAAAGCGUGGGGAGCAAACAGGAUUAGAUACCCUGGUA
rnacentral:rRNA from 1 species